AUUGAACGCUGGCGGCAGGCCUAACACAUGCAAGUCGAGCGGAUGAAGGGAGCUUGCUCCUGGAUUCAGCGGCGGACGGGUGAGUAAUGCCUAGGAAUCUGCCUGGUAGUGGGGGAUAACGUCCGGAAACGGGCGCUAAUACCGCAUACGUCCUGAGGGUGAAAGUGGGGGAUCUUCGGACCUCACGCUAUCAGAUGAGCCUAGUUCGGAUUAGCUAGUUGGUGGGGUAAAGGCCUACCAAGGCGACGAUCCGUAACUGGUCUGAGAGGAUGAUCAGUCACACUGGAACUGAGACACGGUCCAGACUCCUACGGGAGGCAGCAGUGGGGAAUAUGGGACAAUGGGCGAAAGCCUGAUCCAGCCAUGCCGCGUGUGUGAAGAAGGUCUUCGGAUUGUAAAGCACUUUAAGUUGGGAGGAAGGGCAGUAAGUUAAUACCUUGCUGUUUUGACGUUAACAACAGAAUAAGCACCGGCUAACUUCGUG
rnacentral:rRNA from 1 species